rnacentral:lncRNA from 1 species
GGAGACACCAUGUUUCACACAGCCCUAUGGUCUACAGCUCACUCUAUGACUUCACCACCUCUUAAAGCCAUCCGGAUAUGGGCGCACCUCACAGGUGUUCCCCUCGAUCUUAGACAUCAGGAGGGGUUAAGUUGGGUUGCUGGUCUGGUUGGUGAUCCUAAAGAAACAGACGACUUCACAAAAAACAUGGUCAGCUUAACGCUUUCUCAUGUUAAGGUGGAAGUUGAUCUAACUCAACCCUUACCUUCUGUUAUCGAGUUUGAGCGACAAAGUGGCGAAGUAGUGGAAGUUGCUGUCCACUACCCGUGGGUUCCUCCUACAUGCUCUCACUGUCAUGAGUUGGGACACAUCGUCCGUAACUGUCUCCAUUAUACUCCCCCUGCCCCAGCCAGAGGCUCUGCUUCUGCUUCUGUUGCUGCAACUCCUCGUACCUCAAAGAAUCAAAAGACUAAAGUGUACCAGCCUGUUAAGCCCCAAGUUUCUGCUUCUACCCCUCAAAAGCCUGCUUCUGAGGCAGUAGAGGCCUCAGGGAUGUCCUCUGGCCCCAUAAAGCGUUCCUCUCUCUCCAGUACCGCUCAUGUUCCCCUAAUACCUCCCUCUGAUCCACCACCAACCUUCCCCACCUCUACUCCUAUGGAGAUCUCUUUCUCAUCACCUG